CCCAGGGUUACUGAGGGGAGGCCCAGGUGACAGCAGUCCCAGGGUUACUGAGGGGAGGCCCAGGUGACAGCAGUCCCAGGGUUACUGAGGGGAGGCCCAGGUGACAGCAGUCCCAGGGUUACUGAGGGGAGGCCCAGGUGACAGCAGUCCCAGGGUUACUGAGGGGAGGCCCAGGUGACAGCAGUCCCAGGGUUACUGAGGGGAGGCCCAGGUGACAGCAGUCCCAGGGUUACUGAGGGGAGGCCCAGGUGACAGCAGUCCCAGGGUUACUGAGGGGAGGCCCAGGUGACAGCAGUCCCAGGGUUACUGAGGGGAGGCCCAGGUGACAGCAGUCCCAGGGUUACUGAGGGGAGGCCCAGGUGAUAGCAGUCCCAGGGUUACUGAGGGGAGGCUAAGGUUACAGCAGUCCCAGGGUUACUGAGGGGAGGCCCAGG